UUUGUUGAAUAUUGUAACCAAGAUGAUGUGGAUAAUGGAAAAUUAGCAUUGCAUGUGUAUUUGGAUGAACCAUAGAAGGACAUGAAGAUGUAUGCUGAUAUGGAUAUCUUGAACUUUUGGAAGUAAAAUAGGCACCGUUUUGUAUAGGAGGUCGUGUAUUGAACAUAUACCGGAAGUUCUAUGCUCCCUUCAAACAUUCAAGCAUUGCUUUGUGCUCGCAAUUGGAUACAUGGUUUUGAACUCCAAGGUCAUGAUGAUGGUGAUGUUUGUGGUGUUGAAGAAAUUGUCCCAGUUCCAUCUGGGUUUUCA